rnacentral:rRNA from 1 species
UACGUAGGGUGCGAGCGUUACUCGGAAUUACUGGGCGUAAAGCGUGCGCAGGCGGUUUUUUAAGCCAGAUGUGAAAUCCCCGGGCUCAACCUGGGAAUGGCAUUUGGGACUGCAAGGCUCGAGUGCGGCAGAGGAGACUGGAAUUCCUGGUGUAGCAGUGAAAUGCGUAGAUAUCAGGAGGAACACCGAUGGCGAAGGCAGGUCUCUGGGCCACUACUGACGCUGAGAAGCGAAAGCAUGGGGAGCGAACAGG